rnacentral:rRNA from 1 species
UACGAAGGGGGCUAGCGUUGCUCGGAAUCACUGGGCGUAAAGGGUGCGUAGGCGGGGCUUUAAGUCAGGGGUGAAAUCCUGGAGCUCAACUCCAGAACUGCCUUUGAUACUGAGGAUCUUGAGUUCGGGAGAGGUGAGUGGAACUGCGAGUGUAGAGGUGAAAUUCGUAGAUAUCGGGAGGAACACCAGUGGCGAAGGCGGCGACCUGGACGGACAUUGACGCUGAGACGCGAAAGCGUGGGGAGCAAACAGG